GGCAGAAGGUGGAGGGGAAAUGCUUCUGCACGCCUGACAAAAGCAAACUCAUUUUCAUCUGAAGGUAUUUUGCAAGUGAAUAAAGUGGCCAGCUCACGGCGGAGGGGAGGAAACUCGCUGUGCUGGAGAUUUGGGGUCCUUGGAUCACUGACCAGUGAGGUAGGAAAAAAAAAAAAAAAAAGAUGAAGAACCCUCACCACCUUUCCUCUCUCCCUCUCUCCCUCUCUCUCACUCCGGAGAACCUGCCCUAAUGCAUUUUAAUGAGCCGGUGUCGUACACUGGCUGGAUCUGCGGAGGGAUUUACGGGCAUGAAAAGAUGAAGCUUUAAACUGCAUUAUAUUCCUGCUGCUUGCCCGGUCAGAGUCGAAGCAAUUAGUUUUCCAAAUUGGCAAAAAAAAAGAUCCCGGAAAAAUGAGCUGCACGCCAACACACACACAGAAGAAGAAGAAGUAGAAGAAGAAGAAGAAGAAGAAGUGUGGCGGUAGAUUAGUCAUGGUCACGGAGAUCUGAUCCCUGUUUAGCAGCGAGCGAGAGAAAUAGCAGUGUUUCAUUUAAGCAAUCAUGGAAGUAAUGCAGCAAAAAAAAGAGGUUUCUCUCUCUCUGGCAUAUUUCUCCUCAGGAGGAGCAAAGAGACGAGGAGGAGGUGGUGGUGGUGAGGGGUGGAAGUGAAAGUGAAAUCAUAUUGGAAAUGUACUCGAGCAUGUUUAAACAGAAAUGAGAAUAUAUUAUACAGAAGCUAGACGGGUUCUACGCCGCUGCUCGGGCUCUUCCUCUCUGGUUUUUUAUUUCAUUAUGACGUCUCGACUGUUUUCAGAUUAUAUUUAGGGUCAAAUAUGAAGCAAUGGAGCUCAUGGAGACGAUGGGAAAUGUGUUUGGGACGAAGGGACGCCUCGGGGACGAAAGGGGUUCCUCGAGUCUCAAGUUAAGAUAAAAUGUGAGUCGUUAAACUCGCUAUCGAGGGGGACCGACAGGAGGAGAGCUAAUUAGCCAGUCCUGCGUUACUGGACUAAACCAAACACACAGCAGGACUUCCUCCUCCAGGAGUUCCUCCUGUGUGCUUAGCUAACGGCAACUGUAUUCGUGUGACGUUUAGCGGCAAAAUCAAGUGACGGAGCUCCAAACGUGGUCGUGGGAACGAAAUGUGUUUGGGAGUUGGAGUCGCUUUAGUCGCUGUGAGGCUUUGUUCCACCUUAUAAAGCUACGUCGUGAUUGAGUCUCGCGGUUUGUUUCGUUCACGCAGCUAACAGCUAACUGAACAAAACACACAGCAGGACUGAGAUUUCCUGCUCCGAUGAACAAGAGUUUAAUGUGACAACAUGACAGCUUUAGUUUCUUUUCUUUGCAUUUUAAUUCUGUUAAUUUUCAAACCAGGGUUACAGGAGCAUUAGCGCCACCUGCUGGCCUGGAGUGUAGCAACUCAAUUCUAUCUGUUGCCCUUAAAAAGUAAAAGAUUGUGUCUUACCGCAAAUCUUUAUGAGCAGAUUUCCCUUCCCUUCUUUCUUCAUCAUCCAUCAGUGUAUGUUUUAUAGUUUCAUUCGGUAUUUACGUUAAGAACACUAGAGAUAAAAGUACUUCAACACGUAAUACUUUGAUGAUAAUCAAGUAAAACGACAGUCCAGACACGAACUACAACAAACUUUCUGUCCUAUUCAUCGGAACAACUUUGCUCUUUCUUUUUUUUUUCCACUCGACAGCCCUUUGACUCUCCUUAAUCUUCCUGACAGAGUAAUUUGGUGUGUUAUACAGCUCUAAAAAUACAGAUGAAGGGCUGUUGUCACCCGCCGAGCCAGAUGGUCAAAAGGUCAUUCUUCUUCCCCGGCUGCCCUCCCCGUCGUCUUUGUCUCUUUGAGGACCUGACUGGUUAGCGCCCCGGCCAAUCUGUCAGCGAAUGCUUGACUGGACCCCCAGAAAAAAAAA